rnacentral:rRNA from 1 species
GAUGAACGCUGGCGGCGUGCCUAAUACAUGCAAGUCGAGCGAACGGACGAGAAGCUUGCUUCUUUGAUGUUAGCGGCGGACGGGUGAGUAACACGUGGAUAACCUACCUAUAAGACUGGGAUAACUUCGGGAAACCGGAGCUAAUACCGGAUAAUAUUUUGAACCGCAUGGUUCAAAAGUGAAAGACGGUCUUGCUGUCACUUAUGGAUGGAUCCGCGCUGCAUUAGCUAGUUGGUAAGGUAACGGCUUACCAAGGCAACGAUGCAUAGCCGACCUGAGAGGGUGAUCGGCCACACUGGAACUGAGACACGGUCCAGACUCCUACGGGAGGCAGCAGUAGGGAAUCUUCCGCAAUGGGCGAAAGCCUGACGGAGCAACGCCGCGUGAGUGAUGAAGGUCUUCGGAUCGUAAAACUCUGUUAUUAGGGAAGAACAUAUGUGUAAGUAACUGUGCACAUCUUGACGGUACCUAAUCAGAAAGCCACGGCUAACUACGUG